rnacentral:rRNA from 1 species
UACGGAGGGUGCAAGCGUUGUUCGGAUUUACUGGGCGUAAAGGGCGUGUAGGCGGAUUGGCAAGUCGGGGGUGAAAUCCCUGGGCUCAACCCGGGACGUGCUUUCGAAACUACCAAUCUGGAGUAAGGCAGAGGCAGGUGGAAUUCCAGGUGUAGAGGUGAAAUUCGUAGAGAUCUGGAGGAACACCGGCGGCGAAGGCGGCCUGCUGGGCCUUAACUGACGCUGAGGCGCGAAAGCGUGGGGAGCAAACAGG